rnacentral:rRNA from 1 species
CCUAUAAGACUGGGAUAACUUCGGGAAACCGGGGCUAAUGCCGGAUAAUAUUUAGAACCGCAUGGUUCUAAAGUGAAAGAUGGUUUUGUUAUCACUUAUAGAUGGACCCGCGCCGUAUUAGCUAGUUGGUGGGAUAAUGGCUUACCAAGGCAACGAUACGUAGCCGACCUGAGAGGGUGAUCGGCCACACUGGAACUGAGACACGGUCCAGACUCCUACGGGAGGCAGCAGUAGGGAAUCUUCCGCAAUGGGCGAAAGCCUGACGGAGCAACGCCGCGUGAGUGAUGAAGGUCUUCGGAUCGUAAAACUCUGUUAUUAGGGAAGAACAAAUGUGUAAGUAACUGUGCACGUCUUGACGGUACCUAAUCAGAAAGCCACGGCUAACUACGUGCCAGCAGCCGCGGUAAUACGUAGGUGGCAAGCGUUAUCCGGAAUUAUUGGGCGUAAAGCGCGCGUAGGCGGUUUCUUAAGUCUGAUGUGAAAGCCCACGGCUCAACCGUGGAGGGUCAUUGGAAACUGGGAAACUUGAGUGCAGAAGAGGAAAGUGGAAUUCCAUGUGUAGCGGUGAAAUGCGCAGAGAUAUGGAGGAACACCAGUGGCGAAGGCGACUUUCUGGUCUGUAACUGACGCUGAUGUGCGAAAGCGUGGGGAUCAAACAGGAUUAGAUACCCUGGUAGUCCACGCCGUAAACGAUGAGUGCUAAGUGUUAGGGGGUUUCCGCCCCUUAGUGCUGCAGCUAACGCAUUAAGCACUCCGCCUGGGGAGUACGACCGCAAGGUUGAAACUCAAA